rnacentral:rRNA from 1 species
UACAGAGGGGGCAAGCGUUGUUCGGAAUUACUGGGCGUAAAGGGCGCGUAGGCGGCCUGCUAAGUCGAACGUGAAAUCCCUGGGCUCAACCCAGGAACUGCGUCCGAUACUGGUUGGCUUGAAUCCGGGAGAGGGAUGCGGAAUUCCAGGUGUAGCGGUGAAAUGCGUAGAUAUCUGGAGGAACACCGGUGGCGAAGGCGGCAUCCUGGACCGGCAUUGACGCUGAGGUGCGAAAGCGUGGGGAGCAAACAGG